GGUCCGCGAGCUGGGCUCUAGUUGGUCUCCAAAACCGACAAGUGCGGGGUUCGAUUCCCUGGCGGAUCGCCA
rnacentral:tRNA from 1 species